CGUAGGGUGCGAGCGUUAAUCGGAAUUACUGGGCGUAAAGCGUGCGUAGGCGGGUUUGUAAGCCAGGUGUGAAAUCCCCGGGCUUAACCUGGGAAUGGCAUUUGGGACUGCAAGGCUCGAGUGCGGCAGAGGAGACUGGAAUUCCUGGUGUAGCAGUGAAAUGCGUAGAUAUCAGGAGGAACACCGAUGGCGAAGGCAGGUCUCUGGGCUGACACUGACGCUCAUGCACGAAAGCGUGGGGAGCAAACAGG
rnacentral:rRNA from 1 species